UUUCUCUUCUCUAGCGCCACUACCCUCCUUUCUCUUGUCUUUCGUUCAAAAAUUUGCCCAUCGUCGCAUUUCCCAAACCAAGCCAUCACGUCCAGUCUCCCUUUGUCUCCAUCUGUGAAGCUCCGUCUUGCAUCUUGUCUCUGCCUCCAUCUCUGUCCCUGUCCAUGAAGACCCAUUCGCAUUCAGGUUCACUGUUACCAUCUGCCCCUUCUUCGUCGCACGUUGUCACAUGAGGGUGUCGUUCUUCUCACCUUCGAAGAAGCCUCUAUCCAUGUGCAGUCGUUUCCUAUCAUUACGCUUUUAUAUUUUUGUCCUUGUUCGCACCAGAAACAAGCUCAAGCUUCCAACUUCAGUCCUACGCUGCAUGCACCGUUUGCCCCUUGCUAAGCCGUCCAAGCCGAUUUCCUUAUUACCCGAGCCACGUAAGCCGAUUUCUUCCAAGCCGAGCCGCGAGUGAAGUUUUAUUGAGUCGCUCUAUGAUCCUUGAAGGUGUUGGAGUUUGACCUCAUGGAUUAAACAACAAGUUUUGCUAGAAUUCGACUCCCUACUACUUGAUUAAGUUUGUGGACAUCGCAUUAGAGUGAUCUAAAUGUGGGUUUCGCCUAUGGAAGUAUUUAAUUUUUUGUUUGAUUAUCUUUAGGUUGGUUCAUUUGGAUUUUGUUAAAACAAGGAAUUUUAGCUACGUUCGAGGUAAGGGAUUUCUAUAACUGGACUCAUACUGAAGUUGGAAUGUAUUAACUGAGAUGGUAGUUGAUAUAUAUUGACUGAGAUAGAUUGACUGUCAUGUGUAAUCAGAGAGUAUUGAUGUUCUACACUAUUGACUAAACUGAGAUGGUUGAUUAUUAUGCAUAGUUUAAAUUUAUUGACUAGUUGUACUGAUGUAAUAUGUUUUAACGUGUCUUGUUUUGACUUGUUAUGUGUAGAGAAUGAUUUGCUAGUAUUGAAUGUGUUUUGAUGUGACUCUCAUGGACUGAGGGGUAACUAUUAGCUUUAUCUAUGGGGUAGUGUACCUUGCAGGCAUGGUCUCCUAUGGGAUCACUACAUGUUGUGCAUCCUUCGGAAUCACUAGACUGAUACAUGCAUCCUACGAAAUCACUAAACUGAUAUGUGUAUCCUACGGGAUCACUAGACUAAUAUGUAUAUGCUACGGGAUCACUAGACUAAUACGUGCAUUCUAUAGGAUCACUAGACUGAUAUGUGCAUCCUACGGGAUCACUAUACCUAUACGUGUAUCCUACGAGAUCAAAGGACCAAUACGUGUAUCCUAUGGGAUCAUAAGAUUGAUACGUGUAUUCUACGGGAUCACAAGACCGAUACAUGUAUCUUACGGGAUCCUAAGAUUGUUAUGUUGAAUGGUACCCCCUAAUAGAAAGCUAACAGUUAUUACCCAUGAUGGAACUAGUAGUGGGUCCCUUACUGGGUAUAUUUUAUACUCACCCUUUUAUGUUUAACUUUUUCAGGCAAAGGUAAUGUGAGAGGUAGACCGACAAGGGUUAAGAAGGACUCGUGAUCGCCAUAUGGAUGUUUAACAUCUUGCGAAGAGGCGAUAUGCGUUAAGUGUCUAGGCGGCCACACUUCCACAUGGAUGCAUGAAAUGACCUUGGGGCGAGGCAUGACAUGUGGACCAUAUAUGAUGUUGCUUUCAAUUUACGCGUGAUAUGUUUGCGAGUUGCAUAAUGAUUGCAUGAAACAAUGAGUUAUAUUAGUUUACUAACCAAACUAGAUGAGUAUGCCCUAAUCAACUUAGAAUUGAGCCAUUA